GACGUAGGGCGCGAGCGUUGUCCGGAUUUAUUGGGCGUAAAGAGCUCGUAGGCGGCUUGUCGCGUCGUCCGUGAAAACCUGCAGCUCAACUGCAGGCUUGCGGUCGAUACGGGCAGGCUCGAGUUCGGUAGGGGAGACUGGAAUUCCUGGUGUAGCGGCGAAAUGCGCAGAUAUCAGGAGGAACACCGGUGGCGAAGGCGGAUCUCUGGGCCAUUACUGACGCUGAGGAGCGAAAGCGUGGGGAGCGAACAGG
rnacentral:rRNA from 1 species